rnacentral:rRNA from 1 species
AUUGAACGCUGGCGGCAUGCCUUACACAUGCAAGUCGAACGGUAACGCGGGGCAACCUGGCGACGAGUGGCGAACGGGUGAGUAAUGUAUCGGAACGUGCCCAGUUGUGGGGGAUAACUGCUCGAAAGAGCAGCUAAUACCGCAUACGACCUGAGGGUGAAAGCGGGGGAUCGCAAGACCUCGCGCAAUUGGAGCGGCCGAUAUCAGAUUAGCUAGUUGGUGAGGUAAAGGCUCACCAAGGCGACGAUCAGUAGCUGGUCUGAGAGGACGACCAGCCACACUGGAACUGAGACACGGUCCAGACUCCUACGGGAGGCAGCAGUGGGGAAUUUUGGACAAUGGGCGAAAGCCUGAUCCAGCCAUGCCGCGUGUCUGAAGAAGGCCUUCGGGUUGUAAAGGACUUUUGUCGGGGAGGAAAUCCCCAGCGUUAAUACCGCUGGGGGAUGACAGUACCUGAAGAAUAAGCACCGGCUAACUACGUGCCAGCCGCCGCGGUAACAC